CGCCUGUUUAACAAAAACAUGUCCUUUUGUUUUAAAUUUAAGGUCUAACCUGCCCAAUGAUUAAUUUUAAUGGCCGCGGUAUAUUAACUGUGCUAAGGUAGCAUAAUCACUUGUCUUUUAAUUAAAGGCUAGAAUGAACGGUUGGACGAAGUAUUUACUUUCUUUAGUUUAGUUUAUGAAUUUAAUUUUUUAGUUAAAAAGCUAAAAUGUAUUUGGGGGACGAGAAGACCCUAUAGAUCUUUAUAUUUUAUUUUAUUUUGUAUUUUGGUAUUGAUUAAUUAUUUUAAUAAUCUAAUGUAUUUGAUUGGGGUGAUUGUAGAAUUUUAAUUAACUUCUAUUUUUUAUAUUCAUUAAUUAAUGUUUUUUUGAUCCAAUUUUAUUGAUUACAAGAUUAAGUUACCUUAGGGAUAACAGCGUAAUUUUUUCGGAGAGCUCAUAUCGAUGAAGAAGUUUGCGACCUCGAUGUUGGAUUAAAAUAAGUUUUAGGUGCAGGAGCUUAAAAACUAGGUCUGUUCGACCUUUAAUUUUUUACAUGAUCUGAGUUCAGACCGG
rnacentral:rRNA from 1 species